GGCUGAAACUCGCCUACAUGAAGCUGGAGUUACUAGUAAUCGCAGAUCAGAAUGCUGCGGUGAAUGCGUUCCCGGGUCUUGUACACACCGCCCGUCACACCACGGAAGUUGGGGCGCCCGAAGCCACUUAGCUAACCCAUUUGGGAAGCGAGUGUCGAAGGUGAAAUCAAUAACUGGGGUGAAGUCGUAACAAGGUACC
rnacentral:rRNA from 1 species